rnacentral:rRNA from 1 species
AAAAAUAAAAAAUGAAAUAAAUUUUAAGAAAAAGAAAUCUUUCUUUUAUUCUAGUAGAGAAUAAACUUAUAAAUAACUUAAACCGAAAGGGAAAAUAAUUAAAAAAAAGAAAACUAAACUGUUGUACCUUUUGUAUCAGGGUGAAAGGAAAAAAACCUAAAAUUCAGUUUUCCCGAAAAAAAAGGAUUUCUCUUUUUUCAUUUUAAAGUUGUAAUUUUAAGUGAAAUUUAAAGAGGGAAGCUAAAAGUUAGUCGGCUUUUUUAUAUCUGGUUCCCUAAUUUUUGCUAAAGGCAAACCUUAUUAGAUUAAAUUAAUUUAAAUAAGAAUAAUUUUAGGGGGAUAAGCUCCUAAAUUCAAAAAAUUGAACUGUAAAUAGACUUAUAAAAGUGAUUUAAACUAUAACAAAAAUUCGAUUUACACAAUCAUUUUAAGAAAAAAUUGGGUAGUUAGUAAAACUUAAUAAACUUUAUUAAUAAUCUUUCAAUUAGUAUGAUCUUUACUUAUAGAUUAGGAACUCGGCAAAAAGAAGUUUGCCUGUUUAAUAAAAACAACUCCUCUUGAUUAAAUAAGAGGUAAAACCUGCUCAAUGCACAAACAUGUAAAUAGCCGCAGUAUUUUGACUGUGCGAAGGUAGCAUAAUCAAUUGUCUCUUAAUUAGAGUCUAGAAUGAAUGGUUUAACAGAAUUUCAUCUUUCUUAUCUAUAAUUUCAAAAUUUUAGAUUGAAGUUAAAACGCUUCAAUUCAAGAAAGGGACGAGAAGACCCUGUAGAUCUUUACCUUCUUUCAAAGGUUUAUUUGGGAUGAAACUAGAAAUUAUUAAACUUUAGUUAAUUUAAAGGAAUCCGAUCCUACUAUUACGAUCCUCCAGGAAAAAAGGAAAAAGUUACCUCAGGGAUAACAGAAUAAUUUUAUCUUUUUAGACCUCAUAGAAAGAAAAGAUUAUUACCUCGAUGUUGAAUUAAGCUUUCCUUUAUUAGCAGAAAAAUAAGAGAGUAAGUCUGUUCGACUUUUAAAAGCUUACAUGAUUUGAGUUUAGACCGACGUAAGUCAGGUCAGAUUCUAUCUUUUCUUAUUUAUUUCUUUUUUGUACGAAAGGACUAAAAGAAAAAUAAACUCAUUAUUUUA